UCGGGCUUAGCUCAGUUGGUAGAGCGCUUGACUGUUAUUUAAGAUGUUGUCAGUUGGAGUCUGACAGCCGGAG
rnacentral:tRNA from 1 species